rnacentral:rRNA from 2 species
GUACCUGACCAGAAAGCCACGGCUAACUACGUGCCAGCAGCCGCGGUAAUACGUAGGUGGCAAGCGUUGUCCGGAAUUAUUGGGCGUAAAGCGCGCGCAGGCGGUUCCUUAAGUCUGAUGUGAAAGCCCCCGGCUCAACCGGGGAGGGUCAUUGGAAACUGGGGAACUUGAGUGCAGAAGAGAAGAGUGGAAUUCCACGUGUAGCGGUGAAAUGCGUAGAGAUGUGGAGGAACACCAGUGGCGAAGGCGACUCUUUGGUCUGUAACUGACGCUGAGGCGCGAAAGCGUGGGGAGCAAACAGGAUUAGAUACCCUGGUAGUCCACGCCGUAAACGAUGAGUGCUAAGUGUUAGAGGGUUUCCGCCCUUUAGUGCUGCAGCAAACGCAUUAAGCACUCCGCCUGGGGAGUANGGCCGCAAGGCUGANNUCAAAGGAAUUGANGGGGGCC